AGUACGUGAAACUGCUUAGAGGUUAAACCCGAUGAACCUGAAUAUCCAUUAUGGAAAAUUCAUCACUAAUAAUAUGAUAUUUAUAAUAUUAUAUAAAUAGUGUGCAAUUUUUCCAUAUAAGGACAUUGUAAUCUGUUAAUGUAAUAAAUAUUUAUCAUAAGAUCCAUUACUUAAGUUUAUUCGAAUUAGUUAUUUUCGGAUUUCUAACAUAGGAUAAAUGUUUUGGAUUUGAUAAAUCAUUGACAGAUAUAAUUAUAUAAUGUGCUUAAAUUUUUCGGAAUUUUAUCAAUGGUAGAUGAAUCUAAUGAUUUGUUUAUUUAAUUGUAUGCACUAUUAUGAUUAACAAUGCGAUAGAUUCAGGAUACCUUCGGGACCCGUCUUGAAACACGGACCAAGGAGUCUAACAUAUGUGCAAGUCAUUGGGUAUUUUUAAUAAAACCCAAUGGCGUAAUUAACUUAACUGUUAUAUAAUGGGAUUAGUUUAUAUUUUGUUAUGAAAUAUUAAUUCAAUCCCGGGGCGUUCUAUAUAGUUAUGUAUAAUAGUAUUUAUAUUAUUUAUGCCUCUAACUCGAGCGUACCUUGAGC
rnacentral:rRNA from 1 species